rnacentral:lncRNA from 1 species
UGAGCAGAAGCGGCCGGGUGGUCCUCCUGGGUGCCUCAGGGGCCCGGGGAGCAUGGGUCAGGGCGAGUGGCUGCUCCCUGGCCUCAGGUUAUCUGGGUGCCCGGUGAGUGAGGCAUGGCAGGCGAUACCGGACCCCACCCACCGCGUAUACCUCUGGAAUAGCGAUUGCCAUGAUUGAUGUCAGUAGCCUGGGCUGGGAGCCUGCAGGUAAUCAGAACUGCGAAGAUGAUUGGGUCACAGCCAGGAGACUGAUUUUGUAUCCAGAAGUUUCUGUUUCACAAUCACUAAACUACUCAUGCUCAAAGAUUAGUGUCAACAAGAAAUAAACAGACUCUGAUACCGAUAUAAAAUGAACGCGCGUUCAAGAUUUCCUUCAACUCAUUGUUAGCGCAGAAACCGGUAAGAUGUGCCAGCCAGGUCAAAGGAGAAGUGACAAAGGCACCUGUGUACGCGGAGUAAAGGGAUACAGGGGACACAGAAAGCCCCAAAGAUCGGGGCCACUGCGAUUCGUUUUCCAGAGAAGGACGCUCCGAGUUUGCACUCUGACCGCACUGAUGGGGCCCUGUUCCUCCGGUGUCCAUGGCUCCCAGCAAAGCAGACCAGCACCGCCCCCACGCACACCUAGGCCCAGCCCAGCCCCAACACCGGCUGCCGAGCUCACCAUGAUGAGGGCUAAUGGCUCUGGGCAUCGGCCUGCAAGCAUUUACUGAGCACCUACUGUAUGCUCAGUGCCCACAGGCCGAGAGGCAACGAAGACAAAGUCUCUGUCCUUAGUUCAGGGAAGCCACUCCCAGGCAGGGUUCUAGGAAAGAAAGAGCCCCGGGCUGCAUCCGCACUUCUCUGGGCUCCAACAGGAUGUGGUUGCAUCAUCUCCUGGAGGAACGGAUUUGCCUUGAAACGCAGGAGGCAGAGCGGGCCUGGGAGAAGGAGGUUGUUUCCACGCCUUCCUGGGGGAGAGGCUGGUGCAGUCGUGAGAGUCAACCGGGAGCUCGGAGGAGGAGCAGACAGGACGUGGGAGAGCUCGGGAGAGACCCAGGCUGGGCGUCUUGCAGCUCAGACCCUUGGCCACCCAAGCAGCGUAGCCGGCAUCACAGCCCACGGCGUGAGGCCACCAAGACAGACAGAGGAGGUGAGGGGGACCCGGACUGGGCCAGCCACACGUGGAGGUCGUGGAGGAAGCAGGCAUCUAUGCGGAAUCUCGGCCGCCCAGUCUGCCUUGUCCACAGAGAGGUGCCUGUCCGCUGCUUCGAGCGUGUGCCGACGUCUCCCGAAUGUGUCCCCUUUCUCUUCUUCCUUGGGAUUUCCUAACGUCUGACGAUCCCAGCUUGCGUUGGCCCCCUGUGCUGUGGCCCCACGACGUUUUGUCCAGCUUGAUCAGAGCAGAAAGGGGACCUGGUGGGCAGCCCAAGGGGCAGGAAACUUCCGGGUGGAUUCCAGCACAGCCCCAGCCCUGCCGGGGUCUUCAUGCCAAACCCCUGGUCGGCCAGGCUUGAAGCUGGGCUGUGGAGCCACAGUCCUGGCCUACAGGCAGGUGCUUAAGUCACUCAGGCCACUAUGACACAGUUCCACAGCCUGGGCAGCCUACAUAACAGACAUGUACCUCUCACAGUUCCAGAGGCUGGACGUCCACAGUGAGACACUGUCUCUAAAAAAUAAAUAAAUAAAAAAUAAACAAAA